rnacentral:rRNA from 1 species
GACGAACGCUGGCGGCGUGCCUAAUACAUGCAAGUCGAGCGAGCGGAACCAACAGAUUUACUUCGGUAAUGACGUUGGGAAAGCGAGCGGCGGAUGGGUGAGUAACACGUGGGGAACCUGCCCCUAAGUCUGGGAUACCAUUUGGAAACAGGUGCUAAUACCGGAUAAUAAAGCAGAUCGCAUGAUCAGCUUUUGAAAGGCGGCGUAAGCUGUCGCUAAGGGAUGGCCCCGCGGUGCAUUAGCUAGUUGGUAAGGUAACGGCUUACCAAGGCGACGAUGCAUAGCCGAGUUGAGAGACUGAUCGGCCACAUUGGGACUGAGACACGGCCCAAAACUCCUACGGGAGGCAGCAGUAGGGAAUCUUCCACAAUGGGCGCAAGCCUGAUGGAGCAACACCGCGUGAGUGAAGAAGGGUUUCGGCUCGUAAAGCUCUGUUGUUGGAGAAGAACGUGCGUGAGAGUAACUGUUCACGCAGUGACGGUAUCCAACCAGAAAG